rnacentral:rRNA from 1 species
AGUGAACGCUGGCGGUAGGCCUAACACAUGCAAGUCAAACGGCAGCACAGUAAGAGCUUGCUCUUACGGGUGGCGAGUGGCGGACGGGUGAGGAAUACAUCGGAAUCUACUUUUUCGUGGGGGAUAACGUAGGGAAACUUACGCUAAUACCGCAUACGACCUACGGGUGAAAGCAGGGGAUCUUCGGACCUUGCGCGAUUGAAUGAGCCGAUGUCGGAUUAGCUAGUUGGCGGGGUAAAGGCCCACCAAGGCGACGAUCCGUAGCUGGUCUGAGAGGAUGGUCAGCCACACUGGAACGGAGACACGGUCCAGACUCCUGAGGGAGGCAGCAGUGGGGAAUAUUGGACAAUGGGCGCAAGCCUGAUCCAGUCAUACCGAGUGGGUGAAGAAGGCCUUCGGGUUGUAAAGCCCUUUUGUUGGGAAAGAAAAGCAGCAGGUUAAUACCCCGCUGUUCUGACGGUACCCAAAGAAUAAGCACCGGCUAACUUCGUG